rnacentral:rRNA from 1 species
GACAGAGGGUGCAAACGUUGUUCGGAAUUACUGGGCGUAAAGCGCGUGUAGGCGGCUUGGCAAGUCGGGUGUGAAAGCCCUGGGCUCAACCUAGGAAGUGCACUCGAAACUGCUUCGCUUGAGUGUCGGAGAGGAAAGCGGAAUUCUCGGUGUAGAGGUGAAAUUCGUAGAUAUCGAGAGGAACACCGGUGGCGAAGGCGGCUUUCUGGACGAUAACUGACGCUGAGACGCGAAAGCGUGGGGAGCAAACAGG